CCCAUGGCAUUUGGAAGGUCCUGGGCCAGGGACUGAAACCACGCCAUAGCAGCAACGUGGGCUGUAGCAGUAACGACGUCGGAUCUUUAACCCGAGGUGCCACAAGGGAACUUCUACAAAACUCUCUUUUAAUCACCUAAUGUAUUUUUUAUUGAGUCCCAAUAAAGUUGAUUGUUACAUUUUUUAACCAAUAAAAAAUUAUGCAAUGGUAAGCUGGUAUUUAUUAAGCACUUAGCCUAUGCUAGCUACACUGCCAGAAACUUUAUAUGCAUGAAGCAACAUAUUUUUUAGAAUGGCGCUUGAGGGUAGGUAUUAUUUUUAUGCCAGAGGGUAGGGAAAAAUUAAUAGCCUUCCCAAGUCACAUAGCUAGUAAGUGGCAAAAAGAGGUUAUGAUUUAAGUUGUCUGUGAAGACUAUGAUUCCUGUGGUCUGGUCCUACACAGCCCUCAAGAGGCAGGGCCCUCCGAAACCCACAAUUCAAUAGCCACACUUUGAAACUGAACAGCUUAGGGUCCUUCCUGUUCUUCUCCCUGAUUUAAUUGCACCCUAAACACAAUCCCCCGUAAGCUCAAGAUUAGGCAUCCUGAGCCUAAUUGCCUGUGGGUUAAAGAUUAUCAGCAUAUGAUGUUUUUCAGGAACUUUCCUAGUUUGUUCUAAUCUCUGAUCAAUGUGCCUUUUUGCAAGUACUGUUAUUCUAGACAAUAACCUAGAAGGCCAUCAUCAUGAAAUCUCCCGACUCUAGCUUCAAUGACUAAGAUUCCCCCAAAGAAAAAAGAACGCAUGUUUGUCCCAAUCCUGAUGACUAUCUGAAAAUCUGUUUUUCUCCUUUUUAUUAUAAAACUCCUCUCAAUUCUUUCAGCGGGGGGGGGGACGGGGCACAGUCUUUAAGGCAUUAGGCUAUUGUGGCUCUCCUUUGCCUGGCAAAGCAAUAAAGCUAUUUUGUUCUCCUUUACCCAAAACUCUUUCUCUGCAUUUCAGUUCAGCACUGGCAGACAGAGGCCGAAUUCUGUCCACAUGACCCUAUGCUGGUCCUAAAGAUGCUCACAGUCUAUUGGAAGGAAAUGACAGAGAAGCAAAUGAAUACUCUGAAAUACACACUGAAACCUGUGUUACAGUGGAGUUCAAGCAACAAGCUCUGUUAAUUCAAGAUGGGCACCAGCAUGCACUGGAGUGUACCCUGUUAAUUUGAGCUCCUAGUAGCAUUACAGUAGGAAAAAAAAUGGCAACCUAUUACUAAAUCCUAUUUUUCACAUAUCAAGGUCUCUCUUGCCAUUUUUUCCCAGGUUGCAAAGCCACCAGGUGCUGACUGGAAAAUGUUAGGCAGAGUUCUUGUCCCAGCUCUGGAGAUGAAGAGCUGUGAAGGUUUUUCUGGGUCUCUGCUUUCUUGCGGAGGGAGAGUGGUACAUAUAAGUAAUUCCUAUCUCAUAAGGCUGCCAUAAAUAUUAAAUGAGAAAUAUGUGUAUAUCACCUAGCAUGUUGUAAAAGCAUAGGCCAAAGUUGCUUUCCUCCAAAACUUGCUAAAGAAACAAAUUACAAAAGAUAAACAACAGAAUGUAUUGCUUGAUUCUUUUCGUUCACAUUCCAUCUUUCCGUAUUAAAAGAAAUGGAAGCUAUUUAAAAUUUAAAAUAUUUGGGGCAGUGAAGAGAAAGCCAAGGGAACAUUUAUUCAUUCAUGAAGCUGGGAAGGGGGGAUGUGACAUACUGCGUUGUUCCACGUCAGGUUUAUCUAGAACACAUUUUUCCCUCUGUGUGAAGGGCAGACAUGAGCUGUCAUUUGCCUGUUUGCUCUCAAUUCUGUUUCUCCCCUUCUAGACUCUGCUCUCUUUUGCAGGGAGUUGGACUCUGCCAGCCACAUUCUCCAGAAUCCUACCAACAGACUACCAAUUAGAUCCAAGCAGUAGGAGAUGCUGAUGUGUGUCUGGAGGAUGGGAGGAAAGAAGCCAUUGUUAUCCUCUGUUUUCAGCUGCCUGCCCAGCCGUGGUGGUGGCAGAAGGCUCUGGGCUCCAAUGGCGCUGGCUAUUCCAGGAGCAGGAACAGCAGCCUUGAGUGGCAGUGGCUCCAGGAGCCACUGAGGUCCCAGCAGUAGCAUCAGGAGGUUCCAAAGCAGAUGCAGACUUGGACAACUCUAAGGAGUACAGGUCUCUGCACCUGGGCGCCACCUCGGCUCUGCUCUUCUGGUGGUGGUAGCGGUUUGACACUAUCUCUGUGUUAUCUCGCCUUAUGGUUUUUGUUCCUUCAGGCCUUACUUUUGGAAACUAUCCCCUGUCUUAAACUUCGUUUGAUAACCCUAAUACAGUUUUUAUUUUCCUGAUUAAACCUUUACUGAUAUAGUUAGUCAAGAAAAAAGGAAUGAGAAAUAUUUUUCUGAUAACCAGAAUCAUAUUCAACCCAAAGCCCAUAAAAUGUAGUCUAAUUGUUUUUACAAGCCUUGUCAGCAUAUAAAAAUGUCCUUUGAUAUUUUGCAUUUAUGUAGAGUUCAAAAGUUUUCUGAUGACAAAUGGCAUCGGUUCAUAGAAUGCCAGAAUAGUUUUGGCAAGCAGUUACAGUUUUAGAAAGUUUAAAAUAUAGUGAGCAUGGGAUUUAUCUCCAAGAUAUAUAAACACCUCCUGAAGCUCAAUAUCAAAAAAACAAACAACCCCAUCAAAAAAAAAAAAAAAAAAAAAAAAGGGUAGAAGGUCUAAACAGACAAUUUUCCAAAGAAGACUUACAGAUGGCCAAAAAACACAUUAAAUGAUGUUCAACAUCACUAAUUAUUAAAGAAAUACAAAUUAAAACCACUAUGAGGUACCACCUUACACUAGCCAGAAUGGCCAUCAUUAAAAAGUCUAUAAACAGUGAAUGCUGGAGAGGGUACGAAGAAAAGGAACCCUCUUGCACUGCUGGUGGGAAUGUAAACUGGUGCAAACCCUAUGGUAAGCAGUAUGGAGAGUCCUCAAAAAUCUAAAAAUAGAAUUACCAUUUGAUCUAGCAAUCCCGCUCUUGGGUAUCAAUCCAGAGAAAAUCAUGACUCAAAAAGAUACAUGUACCCCAGUGUUCACUGCAGCACUAUCUGCAAUAGCCAAGAUAUGGAAGCAACCUAAAUGUCCAUCGACAGAGGAGUGGAUAAAGGAGAUAUAGCACAUAUGCACAAUGGAAUAUUACUCAGAAAUAAAAAGGAAUGAAAUAAUGGCAUUUGCAGUAACAUGGAUGGACCUAGAAAUUAUCAUGCUAAGUGAGGUUAGUCAGACAGUAGGACACAAACGUCAUAUGCUAUUACUUAUGUGUGGAAUCUAAAAAAAAGGAUACAAUGAACUUCUUUGCAGAACAGAUACUGACUCACAGACUUUGAAAAACUUAGGUUUACCAAAGAAGCCAGGUUGGGGGGAUGGGGGAUGGGCUAGGGGUUUGGGAUGGAAAUGUAAAAUUGGGAUUUGAUGGUGGUUGUACAACUACAAUAAAAUUCAUUGAGUAUAUAUAUGUAUAUAGUGAGCAUGUAGAAUGUGAAAAAAAAUUUCCUGCUGUUAGCAAGACCAUGAAAUGUUCUACUUAAUAAAGAGACCUUAGAACUGGCUAAAGAACUAGGUCUUGGGACAUCUGUUUGAAAGGCUGGAAAUGUAAGAGACACCCACGUGAAAGAGAGGAAGUUAAGGAUAACUUUCUUUCUUCAAGUUUAAGUUUCUCUACAUAAGGCCUCCCCAUUAGUGAAAAUCACUCCCACCAACAUCCUGCACUUGGCCUGCCUUGGAAUUUCAGAGCACUCUUUAGGACAAAGAUAUUAAAACAACAUUUUUGGUCAAUCCUUGAAAGACUUUCAGGUAAUAAAAAUAUAAAGACCAUUAGUGUCCAGGCUUCUUCAGGUCAACAGCAUGGGGGAAAAAAUCAUUUCUAGAAAAAGGAAGGAGCCACUGAAUGUUUAUAGAUUGAAUGGGUUCUCAAAAUACUAGAAAAUUAAAGACAUACUCAGAAUACAUUGUUUUUUGAAUGGGAUUUAAGAUCAGAAUGAAAGAUAGUCCUAGAGAAGAGCUAGAAAAUGCUCUCAGUACGGUGGAGGCUGACAACAAUCCACUGGCAGCAUCUGUGGGGCAAUUAUAUAGAGCAGCACCAACUGAGGCAAGGGAGAGGGAACAUUCUGGAAAGAUGCCUUGGUUUGCCUUGCAAAGUCCUAGGAAGAAAAUUAAAUGCAGCAGCUUAUUUAUUGAUCUACAUGGGGGGCAGUCUGCCUUGCAAAUUUUCACUGCCUUCGGUUCACCUAUCAAAAGGCAACAAUGUAAAUCCUACAAUGAUGCUGAACAAAAUGUCAUUUAAUUGUCAGGAAACUUCUACAUUCAGUCAGUUGCUCCUUUGUUCUGAUCUCAAAGUCUAAGCAAGAAAAGAAAAAAAAAAAAAAUCUCUGUAAGCAGAGCACAGGACCUAUGCACUAUUCUGUCAUCUCGGCCCAUUCCCAACUUCUCUGUAAAAGCUGGAGUAUCUUAUUGUUACUGGCAGUAUUUGUACUCAUCAGCAUCGACCUCCUGUCUAUUGAGCCCUCCUAGUUUCUACUGGCCUUUUGUACCAGGGUCCUGAUGAGGCCCAAAGCUGCGCUCCUGAAUCAUUACUAUUCUCACAGUCUGACAACAGCUUCCAAAUUACAAGUAAAACCACCCUACUGGGGUACGAAGAGGCACAGACUCUACUUUCCCUUAAUAACUCACUAUAGCUUUAUCUUCCUAUUUUAUAUACAUUUUUCCUUUUUUUUUUUUUUGACUGACCCACAUCUCCUACCCCCAUUUCAGACAAUGAGCUCAUUAAAUUUACUUCAAGUGUAACUUAGAGAUAUUGCAGGUCAGUUCUAGACCACCACAAUAGAGUGAAUAUUGUAAUAAAUCAAUACACACAAUUUUUUUAGUUUCCCCAUUCAUAUAAAAGUUAUGUUUACACUUUCCUGUAUAGUCUAUUAAAGUGUGCAAGAAUAUUAUGUCUAAAAAACAAUGUGCAUUCCUUAAUUAAAAAAUACUUUAUGGCUGAAAAAUGCUAACCACUAUCCAGGCCUUUGGUGAGUCAUAAUCUCUUUGCCAAUGGAGGGUCUUGCCUCAAUGCUGACGGCUGCUGAGUGAGCAGAGUGGUGGCUGCUGAAGGUCAGGGUGACUGCAGCAACUUCUUAAGAUAGCAAUGAAGUUUGCCACAUCAACUGACUCUUCAUUUCACAAACUGCUCUGGAGCAGGCAGUACAGUUUGUGACAUUUUAGCCACAGGAGAUGUCAUUUCAAAAUUGGAGGCAAUCCUGCUGCUAUUUUAUCAACGAAGCUUAUUUUUGGUGUCAUUUCAACAAUCUUCACAGCAUUUUCACCAGGAGCAGAUUCCGUCUCAAGAAACCACUUUCUUUGGUCAUCCAUAAGAAGCAACCCCAGGCGUUCUCAUCGUGGCUCAGCAGUAACAAACUCAACCAGGAUCCAUGAGGAUGCGGGUUCAAUCCCCGGCCUCACUCAGUGAGUUAAGGAUCUGGCGUUGCCGUGAACUGUGGUGUAGGCUGCAGAUGUGGCUUGGAUCCAGUGUUGCUGUGUGUGGGGUGUAGGCAAGCAGCUACAGCUCCAAUUCUACCCCUAGCCUGGGAACUUCCGUAUGCCACAGGUAUGGCCCUAAAAAAAGAGAGAAGAUAAAAAGAAGCCCCCCCCCCCAAAUCACUUUCUUAAUUCAUCCAUUCAAGUUUUAUCAUGAGAUUAUAGCAAUUCAGUCACAUCUUCGGGCUCCACUUCUAAUUCUAGUUCUCUUGCUUAUUUCCAUCACAUCUGCAAGUAUUUCCUCCACUGAAGUCUUGAAGCCCUCAGUCAUCCAUGAAUCAACUUCUUCCAAACCCCUAUUCAUGUUUAUAUUUUGACCUCUUCCCAUGAAUUGCACAUGCCCUUUCGGCAUCUAGAAUGCUUUAAAUCCUUUCUGGAAGGUUUUCAAUUUACUUUGCGCAGAUUCAUCUGAGGAAUCACUAUCAGUGGCAGCUAUAGCCUUAUGAAACAUAUUUCUUAAAUCCUAAGGCUUGAGGGUUGAAAGUAUUCCUUGAUCCAUGGGCUGCAGAAUGGAUGCUGUGUUAGCAGGCAUGAAAACAACAUUCCUCUCACUGUACAUCUUCUUCGGAACUCGUGGGUGGCCAGAGGCAUUGUCAAUGAAGAGUAAUAGUUUGAAUCUUUUUUUCCUGAACAGUAGUUAUCCAGAGUGGGCUUAAACUAUUCCAUAAACCAUAUUGUAAACAUGUGUGCUGUCAUCCAGGCUUUAUUGUUCCAUUUUAUAGAGCACAGAAUAGAUUUGGCAUAACCCUCAAGGGCCCUAGGAGUUUCAGAAUGGGGAGUUCCCGUCGUGGCUCAGUGGUUAACGAAUCCGACUAGGAACCACAAGGUUUCAGGUUCGGUCCCUGCCCUUGCUCAGUGGGUUGAUGAUAUGGCGUUACUGUGAGCUGUGGUGUAGGUCGCAGACUCCGCUCGGAUCCACGUUGCUGUAGCUGUGGCAUAGGCUGGUGGCUACAGCUCCGACUGGACCCCAGCCUGGGAACCUCCAUAUGCCAUGGGAGAGGCCCAAGAAAUAGCAAAAAGACAAAAAAAAAAAAAAAUGGUAAAUGAGCACAGGCUUCCAUUGAAAGUCAGCCAUUCCAUUAGCUAACAAGACAAGAGCCUGUCCCUUGAAGCCAGUCAUUGAUUUCUCCUCUUUAGCUAUGAAAGUCCUAGAAGGCAUCUUCUUCCACUAUAGGCUGUUUUACCUACACUGAAAAUCUGCUGUUGAGUGCAGCCACCUUCAUGAAUGAUGUUAGCUAGAUCUUCUGAAUAACUUGCCGCUUAACCUUGCACUUUUCUGUUAUCAAGAUGGCAUCUUUCCUUAAACCUCACGAACUAACCAUUGCCAAUUGCAGACGUUCUGCAGCUUCCUCACUUUUCUCAGUCUUCACAGAAUCAAAGAGCAUUAGGACCUUGUUCUGGAUUUGGAUUUGGCUUAAGGGAAUAUUGCGUCUGGUUUGAUCAUCUAUCCAGACAAGUAAAACAUUCUCCAUAUCAGCAAUAAGGCUGUUUUAUUUUCUUACAAUUCAUGUGUUCACUGGAACAGCAUUUUCAGUUUCCUUCGAGAACUUUUCCUUUGCAUUCACAUCAUGGCUAACUGUUUGGAGCAAGGGGCCUAGCGU
rnacentral:lncRNA from 1 species